GAUGAACGCUGGCGGCGUGCCUAAUACAUGCAAGUCGAGCGAAAAGACGGUAAGCUUUCUCCUCUGCUGUUGGCGGCUGACGGGUGAGUAACACGUGGAUAACCUUCCUAUAAUACUUGGAUAACUUCGGGAAACCGCAUCUAAUACUGGAUAACAUGUUGUACCGCAUGGUUCAACAGUUAUAGACGGUUUUGCUGUCACUUUUAGAUGGUUCCGCGCCGCAUUAGCUAGUUGGUAAGGUAACGGCUUACCAAGGCGACGAUGCGUAGCCGACCUGAGAGGGUGAUCGGCCACACUGGAACUGAGACACGGUCCAGACUCCUACGGGAGGCAGCAGUAGGGAAUCUUCCGCAAUGGGCGAAAGCCUGACGGAGCAACGCCGCGUGAGUGAAGAAGGCCUUCGGAUCGUAAAACUCUGUUAUUAGGGAAGAACAAAUGUGUAUGUAAAUCUGCCCGUCUUGACGGUACCUAAUCAGAAAGCAACGGCUAACUACGUG
rnacentral:rRNA from 1 species